AAGAAGACUGCUGAGCAGUAAAGCUGGCCAUACCACAAAUGGAGAGGCAUUCUUAUCCCACUGCUAUCAGGUGAAAAAGGAUGGCAGCUUCGAACAACUACAGUGCCAGGACCCAUGAGUUCAACACUGCAAAAAGCAGGUGGUAUCAAAUAAAGGGUGAAGCCAGA